rnacentral:rRNA from 1 species
GUCGAGCGAGACCUUCGGGUUUAGCGGCGGACGGGUGAGUAACGCGUGGGAACGUGCCCUUUUCUGCGGGAUAGCCACUGGAAACGGUGAGUAAUACCGCAUACGCCCUUUGGGGGAAAGAUUUAUCGGAGAAGGAUCGGCCCGCGUCUGAUUAGGUAGUUGGUGGGGUAAUGGCCUACCAAGCCUACGAUCAGUAGCUGGUUUUAGAGGAUGAUCAGCCACACUGGGACUGAGACACGGCCCAGACUCCUACGGGAGGCAGCAGUGGGGAAUCUUAGACAAUGGGCGCAAGCCUGAUCUAGCCAUGCCGCGUGAGUGAUGAAGGCCUUAGGGUCGUAAAGCUCUUUCGCCAGGGAUGAUAAUGACAGUACCUGGUAAAGAAACCCCGGCUAACUCCGUGCCAGCAGCCGCGGUAAUACNGAGGGGGUUAGCGUUG